rnacentral:rRNA from 1 species
CGCUAGCGGCAGGCUUAACACAUGCAAGUCGAGGGGUAUGCAUCUUCGGAUGCAGAGACCGGCGCACGGGUGCGUAACGCGUAUGCAAUCUGCCUUUCACAGAGGGAUAGCCCAGAGAAAUUUGGAUUAAUACCUCAUAGUAUUAUGGAAGGGCAUCCUUUUAUAAUUAAAGUCACAACGGUGAAAGAUGAGCAUGCGUCCCAUUAGUUAGUUGGUAAGGUAACGGCUUACCAAGACUUCGAUGGGUAGGGGUCCUGAGAGGGAGAUCCCCCACACUGGUACUGAGACACGGACCAGACUCCUACGGGAGGCAGCAGUGAGGAAUAUUGGUCAAUGGGCGCAAGCCUGAACCAGCCAUGCCGCGUGCAGGAUGACGGUCCUAUGGAUUGUAAACUGCUUUUGUACGAGAAGAAACACCCCUACGAGUAGGGACUUGACGGUAUCGUAAGAAUAAGGAUCGGCUAACUCCGUGCCAGCAGCCGCGGUAAUACGGAGGAUCCAAGCGUUAUCCGGAAUCAUUGGGUUUAAAGGGUCCGUAGGCGGUCUUGUAAGUCAGUGGUGAAAGCCCAUCGCUCAACGAUGGAACGGCCAUUGAUACUGCAGGACUUGAAUUACUGGGAAGUAACUAGAAUAUGUAGUGUAGCGGUGAAAUGCUUAGAGAUUACAUGGAAUACCAAUUGCGAAGGCAGGUUACUACCGGUGGAUUGACGCUGAUGGACGAAAGCGUGGGUAGCGAACAGGAUUAGAUACCCUGGUAGUCCACGCCGUAAACGAUGGAUACUAGCUGUUGGGCGCAAGUUCAGUGGCUAAGCGAAAGUGAUAAGUAUCCCACCUGGGGAGUACGAACGCAAGUUUGAAACUCAAAUGAAUUGAC